rnacentral:rRNA from 1 species
UGACCGAGCACGCCGCGUGAGUGAAGAAGGUUUUCGGAUCGUAAAACUCUGUUGUUAUGAGAAGAACAAGGGUGAGAGUAACUGUUCACCCCUUGACGGUAUCUAACCAGAAAGCCACGGCUAACUACGUGCCAGCAGCCGCGGUAAUACGUAGGUGGCAAGCGUUGUCCGGAUUUAUUGGGCGUAAAGCGAGCGCAGGCGGUUUCUUAAGUCUGAUGUGAAAGCCCCCGGCUCAACCGGGGAGGGUCAUUGGAAACUGGGAGACUUGAGUGCAGAAGAGGAGAGUGGAAUUCCAUGUGUAGCGGUGAAAUGCGUAGAUAUAUGGAGGAACACCAGUGGCGAAGGCGGCUCUCUGGUCUGUAACUGACGCUGAGGCUCGAAAGCGUGGGGAGCAAACAGGA